rnacentral:rRNA from 1 species
AGUGAACGCUGGCGGUAGGCCUAACACAUGCAAGUCGAACGGCAGCACAGUAAGAGCUUGCUCUUACGGGUGGCGAGUGGCGGACGGGUGAGGAAUACAUCGGAAUCUACUUUUUCGUGGGGGAUAACGUAGGAAAACUUACGCUAAUACCGCAUACGACCUACGGGUGAAAGCAGAGGAUCUUCGCACCUUGCGCGAUUGAAUUAGCCGAUGCCGGAUUAGCUAGUUGGCGGGGUAAAGGCCCACCAAGGCGACGAUCCGUAGCUGGUCUGAGAGGAUGAUCAGCCACACUGGAACUGAGACACGGUCCAGACUCCUACGGGAGGCAGCAGUGGGGAAUAUUGGACAAUGGGCGAAAGCCUGAUCCAGCCAUACCGCGUGAGUGAAGAAGGCCUUCGGGUUGUAAAGCCCUUUUGUUGGGAAAGAAAAGCAGCAGGUUAAUACCCCGAUGUUCUGACGGUACCCAAAGAAUAAGCACCGGCUAACUUCGUG